GACGAACGCUGGCGGCGUGCCUAAUACAUGCAAGUAGAACGCUGAAGAGAGGAGCUUACUCUUCUUGGAUGAGUUGCGAACGGGUGAGUAACGCGUAGGUAACCUGCCUUGUAGCGGGGGAUAACUAUUGGAAACGAUAGCUAAUACCGCAUAACAAUGGAUGACACAUGUCAUUUAUUUGAAAGGGGCAAUUGCUCCACUACAAGAUGGACCUGCGUUGUAUUAGCUAGUAGGUGAGGUAAUGGCUCACCUAGGCGACGAUACAUAGCCGACCUGAGAGGGUGAUCGGCCACACUGGGACUGAGACACGGCCCAGACUCCUACGGGAGGCAGCAGUAGGGAAUCUUCGGCAAUGGGGGCAACCCUGACCGAGCAACGCCGCGUGAGUGAAGAAGGUUUUCGGAUCGUAAAGCUCUGUUGUAAGUCAAGAACGGGUGUGAGAGUGGAAAGUUCACAAUGUGACGGUAGCUUACCAGAAAGGGACGGCUAACUACGUG
rnacentral:rRNA from 1 species